rnacentral:rRNA from 1 species
GACGAACGCUGGCGGCGUGCCUAACACAUGCAAGUCGAACGGAAAGGCACUGCUUGUGUGGGGUGCUCGAGGGGCGAACGGGUGAGUAACACGAGAGUAACCUGCCCUUGACUUUGGGAUAACUUCAGGAAACUGGGGCUACUACCGGAUAGGAGCUCCUGCUGCAUGGAGGGGGUUGGAAAGUGGCGGCGGGCGGGGAUGGUCUCGCGGGUUAUGAGCUUGUUGGUGGGGGAGUGGCUGACCAAGGAUUGGACGGGUAGGCGGCCUGGGAGAGGGACCGGCCCCCUUGCGCCUACGGGACGGCGCAGACGGCAACGUUAGGCAGAGGGCGGAAGUCUUACGCAGCGGCGCCGCGCGUGUUACGACGGCCUUCGGUGCGUAAAGCCGUCUUGUUGGUGAAGAACAGCUUUCGGCUGUGACGAAGCGUGAGUGACGGUAACGAGUAAAGAAGCACCGGCUAACUACGUG